UGGGGAAUUUUGGACAAUGGGGGCAACCCUGAUCCAGCAAUGCCGCGUGUGUGAAGAAGGCCUUCGGGUUGUAAAGCACUUUUGUCCGGAAAGAAAUCCUUGGCUCUAAUACAGUCGGGGGAUGACGGUACCGGAAGAAUAAGCACCGGCUAACUACGUGCCAGCAGCCGCGGUAAUACGUAGGGUGCAAGCGUUAAUCGGAAUUACUGGGCGUAAAGCGUGCGCAGGCGGUUUGCUAAGACCGAUGUGAAAUCCCCGGGCUCAACCUGGGAACUGCAUUGGUGACUGGCAGGCUAGAGUAUGGCAGAGGGGGGUAGAAUUCCACGUGUAGCAGUGAAAUGCGUAGAGAUGUGGAGGAAUACCGAUGGCGAAGGCAGCCCCCUGGGCCAAUACUGACGCUCAUGCACGAAAGCGUGGGGAGCAAACAGGAUUAGAUACCCUGGUAGUCCACGCCCUAAACGAUGUCAACUAGUUGUUGGGGAUUCAUUUCCUUAGUAACGUAGCUAACGCGUGAAGUUGACCGCCUGGGGAGUACGGUCGCAAGAUUAAAACUCAAAGGAAUUGACGGGGUCAUAGCUGUUUCCU
rnacentral:rRNA from 1 species